AACAUGUGAUUUAAUUUUGGUAAGGUUGAACCUCUAUUAAUUAACCCUCUUCCCCUCAGCUAUAAAAGGUCAAAUAAUGGGCUAGGCCAAAUCAUUUACAUUGAGAAAAACAAACCCUUUUUCUUCCUAAUUUGUUCUCUUUGUUUAAAAAAAAAAAAAUGCUUUUACCUAUCAAAUUAUAGAUCCCUCAAGGGUUUGAUCAACAUUGUGUAUCUAGAAGCAAAAGAAAGAAAUUAUAUGGGGAAUUUCAACAACAACUCACUCUAUAGGUACUGGGUUGUUGAAUACAAUGUAUAAACCAAAUACCCUAAGGAGAUUCACAGGAGGUACAAACUAUACCGGUAACUUCAUGGUUGAAAUAUCAUCUUUUGAUCUAUGUAUAACUCAAAUUCAAUGGAAUUAGAGAAGAAGUCGAAUGAUGAACUAGUAAGGUCUAGUCCUUCUAAAAGAAAAGUAGUGUCAACAGUGAAAGCAAUCGGAAAAAAAUGUUACAAGAGGAGGAAAGUAAAAAGUUCUGUCCCGGACAUGAUUGGAGAACCGGUUGUUAAUGAAGAACAAGACGAAGUCAGUGAAGAAUCACAUAGUUCAUCAAUUUCUUCUUCUUCUUCUCUUCUUGGUGUGUGAAACCAAGAGAUGAUUUUGACUUGUCACAAAAAUUCAACAUUAGAGAUCUUGUAACACUCAUGUCUGCAUGUUGUAUAAAAUAUAUUUAACUAUAUAUAUCAUAAUAUAUUAACUGUUGUGUUUAA